rnacentral:lncRNA from 1 species
AGCCUCUCUUUUCCUGGAGGUAAACAUUUGUCACCUUGUCACUUUUUGGAACUGUAGUCAUGACCCCUGCAGGUAAGCAGUGAGGGAAACAAUUCCUAAACUCACUGGCAGCAGCCCAUUCCCCAAGACACCAAAUCUCAGAUGCUGGUGUGUUUUCACACGUAUCUCUUCACUAUUAAAAGGGAAAAAUGGUUGUUCUGUACAGGAGCUUUGGGCAACCCCACCCUCAGUGCUCAAUCAGAAGCCUGGCCUCCAAGGUGGCAAGGGUGUCAUGUUGGGGAGAAGCAGGGAAUCACAAGCAAUUUCCCCUCGAAAUUACAGCCAUGUCAGUCACUGCCCAGGCCAGUGGAAAGAGCAUGGAUGCUGUGGCCAGGUAGCCCGUGGCCUGAACCCCAGACCAAGCACUUGUUAUCUCUCUCCAGUGGGACACCUCUGUUCCCCUCCGAGCCUCAGUUUUCUAAUCUGUGUAAAGGGCACACCGAUAUCUACUUCUCAAAACUGCUGUGAGGAUUAAAACAACGUGGAAUGUUGUUUUAAUGUCACUGCCUGACAUGCAAGAAUGGAGCCUUUUUCUGCACACCCCUCCCCCAUCUCUCCUCCAAUGGAGGUGGUUCUUUCAAUUCAUCCCAGAAAAAGUAGAGUGGAAGUACCAUCACCGCCCUCUCUCUCCAUUCGAGUUUCCCCUGGGGUCCGAGACACCUUGAAAACACAAGUGCUUCCCACUUUCCGGAUGUGGAACUGUGCCGGGAGGUAAGGUCCUCAGCCACUCCACCUUUUCCUGGCCCUGUCACCAUGGAUCUAUCUCCUGUUCCCCUGAGUCAGGCAGUGGCUCUAGCCCCGCCCUCAGGGAGACUGGAGGGCUCAGGUGUGGAGACGAGCCCUGUGCAACGGAACGUCCUGCCGUGACAGAAAGACUGCACGUCUGUGCCAUUCAAGAUGGCAGCCACACGUGGCUACUGGGCGCUCCAAGUGCGGCCAGUGGGGAACAAAGAACUGAAUUUCCAGUUUCGCUUAAUGCUAAUUAAUUUAAAUUCACAUGGAACUAGCCCCACGUGCCUGGUGGCUACCAUCCUGGCACCGCAGAGACCUGGUGACUGCGGGCUGGAGGCACUCAGGAACCCAGGGCUUCCUCCUUUGAGAUCACUUCUGCAAGGCCUUUGCAAAACCAGGUUCUUCUCAGGGCUCCUCAGCCCACACAGGCCUUGCCAGCAGCUUAGUGCUUUCAGGAAAGGGAGAAGCUGGAGCAGCCACCAGCCCAGGCCAAAUGGCAACACUGUGUGUCAUCACGCCCACUCUUUGUUCAAUGAGGGACAAGUGCAGAAAGAUCCCAGCUGUGCAGUGGCCUGUGUGCUGCUCCCUGCCCCUCCCCCAUGCGGCAGAGGGGAUCUUUGUCUCCAGAAGGGAGCAUGGGGACCUCUUGGGCUGGGAACCUUCUGGAAGGGCAGCCUGGCUUCUGCUUGGUCUUGUCUGGGACCCGACUCGAUUAUCUCCCUGCAGCUUGUUUCCUACCAGCACUGGAGUAAGCCAUGACCCCACCGCCCAACACUCCAGGUUUUGUCUGCUUGAAAGCAGACCUAAGAGAAGAGAACGGCACGUGUUAGGAAUAGACAGCAGGAUGGUACCUGAUUUUGAACAAGUGAGACCAGGGCUCCAGACCUUUUCUAGAGCUCACCCCCAACCACCUCCUUUCUAGAGCUCACCAGGCUAGGAUCAUGUAUUUUACAGAAUGAUCCAUCGGAGAGCAGCAGUUUUUAGCUCAGGACUCUGAGCAAAGUCAUCUUGGUUGAUUUUCACAAAGGAGGCAGAGAGGUGUUUGCGAAGCGCCAACUAAGUACCAGGUAGGUUCUUGGAAAUGUUACAGCCUUUCUCAGAGCAGAUGCUAAAAUCCUUUUCCAAACAGCCUUCAAGUUCCCACCAAUAUGGGCCCUGCUACCCACUGGCUUCAUCUCUUACUCCUUCUCUUGCCAUCUGCUCACUCCCGCCACAGUGGCUGGCUUGUGUUUCUGCUUCAUGCCAUGCAGGCUCCUGCCUCAGACCUUUGCACGUGCUCUUCUCUAUCAUAUUCACAUGACUGACUCCUCAACUCUUUGGUCUCUGCUCAAACAUCAACUUCCCCAUUCCCAAAGAACAAGCCAUCUUUGACCUUCUCUCCCAAUUUGAAAUGGGAACCCCUCACCUCUGACUUCCCAUUCCAUAUCCUGCUCACAUUUCCACAGAUGACAUCUCACAUUUUUUUGCCUUUUUUUUUUUUUCAGGGCUGCACCUGUAGCACAUGGAGGUUCCCAGGCUACGGGUUGAAUCGGAGCUACAGGCACCAGCCUACACUACAGCAAUGCCAGACCCAAGCUGCAUCUGCGCCCUACACAACUCAUGGCAACACCUGAUCCUUAACCCACUGAGCAAGGCCAGGGAUCAAACCUGCAACCUCAUGUUUCCUAGUUGGAUUCGUUUCUGCUGCACCCUAAUGGGAACUUCCAACAUUUCACUUUUCAUGCAACUUAGUGUUUUCGGUUGCUUUGUUUAUUCUGUCUCCCCUGCUGGAAAACAGAAUCCACAAAGGCCAGGAGUUUUACCUCCUUUGUUCUCUAUGUCAUCAGCGCCUAGUACAAUAUGGGCACACAGCAGAACCUCAAGAAAUGUUUGCUAAAUGCAUCUAUUCUCUCUCACUUAAUCCCAAUGAUCAACUCUUCACAUCUCUACAAAUGAGGCAACUCAAGCUUAGAGAGGUUGAUUUCUUUUUGUUUUCUUUUUAGGGCUGCACCUGCAGCAUGUGGAAGUUCCAAGGCUAGGGGUUGCAUUGGAGCUGCAGCUGCUGGCCUGCACCACAGCCACACUAAUACUGGAUCUGAGCCACAUCUUUAAUCUACACCACAGCUCAGAGCAAUGCCAGAUCCUUAACUCACUGAGUGAGGCCAGGGAUUGAACCCACAACCUAUGGACACUAUGUCGCGUUCUUAACUCGCUGAGCCAGUUGAUUUUGUAAAGUUUCAUAGAUAAUAUUUCAUUCCCGAAUUCUUCCAACAAAUCAUAUUUGAGCAUUCACUCUACACUGGGUUACCAAAAUGAACAAGACACACGGGACCCCUGUCUGUAUAGAACUAACAUCCUAGCGACCCCAGUGGUUCUCAGGAGUCAAGUUCCAGUCUGUCUCUCUCCAAGGCCCCAUCUCUGCACUGUACGACACUGCCUUCCAUGUCCAG